rnacentral:rRNA from 1 species
GACGAACGCUGGCGGCGUGCUUAACACAUGCAAGUCGAACGGUGAAGGGGUCUGCUUUUGUGGGCCCUGGAUGAGUGGCGAACGGGUGAGUAACACGUGAGUAACCUGCCCCCUUCCUCUGGAUAACCGCAUGAAAGUGUGGCUAAUACGGGAUAUUCUGGGUCUGUCGCAUGAUGGGUCUGGGAAAGAUUGCGCCUUUGGGUGUUUUUGGUGGGGGAUGGGCUCGCGGCCUAUCAGCUUGUUGGUGGGGUGAUGGCCUACCAAGGCGGUGACGGGUAGCCGGCCUGAGAGGGUGGACGGUCACACUGGGACUGAGACACGGCCCAGACUCCUACGGGAGGCAGCAGUGGGGAAUAUUGCACAAUGGGCGCAAGCCUGAUGCAGCGACGCCGCGUGAGGGAUGGAGGCCUUCGGGUUGUAAACCUCUUUCGCCAGUGAAGCAGGCCUGCUCCUUGUGGGUGGGUUGACGGUAGCUGGAUAAGAAGCGCCGGCUAACUACGUG